AGAUUAAGUUAUUAAGGGCGCACGGUGGAUGCCUUGGCACUAGAAGCCGAUGAAGGACGUUACUAACGACGAUAUGCUUUGGGGAGCUGUAAGUAAGCUUUGAUCCAGAGAUUUCCGAAUGGGGAAACCCAGCAUGAGUUAUGUCAUGUUAUCGAUAUGUGAAUACAUAGCAUAUCAGAAGGCACACCCGGAGAACUGAAACAUCUUAGUACCCGGAGGAAGAGAAAGAAAAUUCGAUUCCCUUAGUAGCGGCGAGCGAAACGGGAAGAGCCCAAACCAACAAGCUUGCUUGUUGGGGUUGUAGGACACUCUAUACGGAGUUACAAAGGACGACAUUAGACGAAUCAUCUGGAAAGAUGAAUCAAAGAAGGUAAUAAUCCUGUAGUCGAAAAUGUUGUCUCUCUUGAGUGGAUCCUGAGUACGACGGAACACGUGAAAUUCCGUCGGAAUCUGGGAGGACCAUCUCCUAAGGCUAAAUACUCUCUAGUGACCGAUAGUGAACCAGUACCGUGAGGGAAAGGUGAAAAGCACCCCGGAAGGGGAGUGAAAUAGAACCUGAAACCGUGUGCUUACAAGUAGUCAGAGCCCGUUAAUGGGUGAUGGCGUGCCUUUUGUAGAAUGAACCGGCGAGUUACGAUUUGAUGCAAGGUUAAGCAGUAAAUGUGGAGCCGUAGCGAAAGCGAGUCUGAAUAGGGCGUUUAGUAUUUGGUCGUAGACCCGAAACCAGGUGAUCUACCCUUGGUCAGGUUGAAGUUCAGGUAACACUGAAUGGAGGACCGAACCGACUUACGUUGAAAAGUGAGCGGAUGAACUGAGGGUAGCGGAGAAAUUCCAAUCGAACCUGGA
rnacentral:rRNA from 1 species